GAAAUGCGAUAAGUAAUGUGAACUGCAGAAUUCAGUGAAUCAUCGAAUCUUUGAACGCACCUUGCGCUCCUUGGUAUUCCUUGGAGCAUGCCUGUUUGAGUAUCAUGAAAUCUUCAAAGUAAAUCUUUUGUUAACUCAAUUGGUUUCUACUUUGGUAUUGGAGGUCUUUGCAGCUUCACACCUGCUCCUCUUUGUUCAUUAGCUGGAUCUCAGUGUUAUGCUUGGUUCCACUCGGCGUGAUAAGUUAUCUAUCGCUGAGGACACUGUAAAAGGUGGCCAAGGUAAAUGCAGAUGAACCGCUUCUAAUAGUCCAUUGACUUGGACAAUACUUUUAUGAUCUGAUCUCAAAUCAGGUAGGACUACCCGCUGAACUUAAGC
rnacentral:misc_RNA from 1 species